rnacentral:lncRNA from 1 species
AACAGGCAACAUCUUUUGACCCACAGCUCCCCCUGCAUCAAUUCGGCUAGAGCGGCGACCCUCCUCCCCACGGACAACUUCGGCCACCGCCGCCUUCUGGUGAGAUUCGCCGCAGCCAAAGCCCCUAACCUCAUCCACCCCACCAGCUGCACUCCCCUGACCCGCUCGAAGCCGUGCCGCCGCUCGAACUUGUUGCGGAGCCACCGUAGGCAAAACUCAUCGGAACCGAAGCCACCUUCCGCCAUUGUUGGAACACCGCCGAGCCUCGAUCUUGGUCGCGCCCAUAGCCUCCAAAAAUGAAUGCAGUAAUUUCCCCUGAGCUCAUAGAUGUGCCGAGCAUCAAAAACGACGUCCUCUAGUGCUGGCUAGCCUUGCUGAAGCUCGCCACUGCUCCCUGCCCAGGGAAACAUGAAAGGUGGGAGACGUACCCGAUAGGUGGGGUCACCUAUCGGUCAGUCAUCGUGCCCCUGGUGGCGGCAGCCGGCUGGGACGUUUCCCCUUUGAGUAAGCGCCUUCUUCUCAACGUGUUUCGAGUUAUGAAAGGCGUAUUCCUCCCCGAACCAUGUCUGCUCUGAUUCUUUUUAAAAAUAGUUCUAAAAUUGACCAUAGUUCCAAAUGGACUGAUUAUUUUUCCUACCUCUUUCAAAUUGCCUCUUGUUUAUUGACAUAUUUAUUUCAAAAAUAUUCAAACAACUUUUAUGUGUGGCUUUAAAUUUUUGUGUUAAUUUAGAUAUUCUCAAAAUAAGAUUUUGGAGAGAGGAGACUCACUUCAAAUAUUUUGUGGUACACAUCACCUUCCUGAAACUCGAAAGGCAAGCAUCUUGAACUCUGAUUUGCAUAAAGUUGUGUGAUGUUUGUGGCGUGCAUCUAUUGCAUGAUUUUAGGUUAUGUUAAUAAAUAUCUCACAUGAAAUCCGCAUUGCAUAAGAGCAUGUGGUGGAUAUUUUUCUUGCUAAGUGUGUGGAAGGCAAGUGGUGAGUGGGUUCUGCCUCAUGCCUCGUAUGCUAUGUUGGUCUGGACAACCUAGGGGUAAGGUGUGUCGUGGUGGAAAUGAGACCAUGGGGUGAGAUCUCGUGGGACAAGAGUAGUCCGUGAAAGCAUGCCGGGGUGUGAUGGUAGUAACCCUGAGAUAAUUCCUUCAGAAAAAUUGUGUGGUACUAACCCUUGCAGGAAAAUAUUAAACCUCCUAAGUCGACCGUAGAACGAUUCGUGUCUGUGUGUCACCUUACCUUUCGUGCUGCCACGGGUCUUUCCUAAACGGAAUACAGUCUAGUAGGUCUUAAAUCUAUCACCAGGUACAUACCAAGUAGAGAGGCUGGGAUGAAGGUAUCCAUGGCCCUGGACUAAAUCCAAUCAUCCGGUCAGGGGGCAUGGGUGUUUCCGGUCUGGGACCGAUAGGGAAUGGCCAUUCCCUCGUAGCGCACGGUAAAAAAUUGAUCCCAUGCUAGUCGAGGUUGGAGCCUCCCCGUCUUAUGGUUUUUCCCUAGGAGAGUUGUUUGGGUGAAGCCGGAUUUCGGUGGGUUAAAAAUGGGUGUGUACUGGUUUUAAGAGUUUACUUCUGAAAACCGUACGCGGGAUUAGUUCGAGUGACUAAUGAAACCCGUGGGUUGUGGGUAAAGAGUACACCCUUUGUAGAGUCAAAACUAUUCGAGUAGCCGUGUCCACGGUUAAGGACGACUGGUUGAAUAGUUAAGUGUCGGUAUUUGGAGGAAGUUAAAGAAAUCGUGAGACUAAUCAGGAAAUAUGGUGGAAGAUUAUACUAUUAUUAUUAUUACUAUGGACUAACGCUACGAUUAUGAUUGUUGGGUAUCCCUGGGACGGUUCUACCUCCGCGAUAUUCAAUAUUUAUUAUUGUUUCAUAUAAACCCUUGUUGUGGUGUCGCUCAAACGCCGGACUGUGGCAUGCUCGUUAUUAUAUCUUAUAAGCCCGUUCUGUGGUGUCGCUUAGACGCCCGACUGUGGCACCUAUUAUUACUUGCAUAUGAGCCCUUUAGGCGGUGUCACUCCGAUGCCCGAUUGCCGCACGCAUGUUAUUACUUAUUCAUGUUUACCUUCCUUGCUUGUUUAUACAACAUUGGUGGAGUUUUUUUAUGUGCAUAAAUGCAUCCAUGAAUUAAAUUCUAAUGGCAUGGUAGAGUUAUUAAGUGGAUUAUGCAUGCAUCUCACUUGCUUUUCUUGAUGUUUGCAAGUACAUUCAACGUACUCACUCGCAUGUCCCAGGCUAUUGUCUUGGAUAGAUUGCGUUUGGAGAGGAGCACGAUGCCGUCAACCCCGGAACCUAGGAUCCCAGGAUAGCAUCCUUGUGAGAUAGGAAUUUAUCUAGGUCAACUGUUCCUGUGGGAAUGGAGUCCCAUGGACACUGGAGAUUCCUCGAGUCGCUUCCGCCGUCAACCUCAGAGUUUUGUCCAAACAAGUAGACCUUUAUGGUCUUGUAACCCAGAUUUUGUAUUUUGCUUGGAUAUUCUGUAUCAACUGAGUGUCUACUAGCUAACAGUACUCAUAGGGCUGAUAAACACAAAGACCUGCUUUCUGGAAAUUAUUUUCUGAAGAACCGGUCGCUACACGCUCGCUUUGUGCGCGCCGAGGGAAGGGCUGCGCGGGUCGUGGUGACCGCACCCGCUGGCCUCGCUGUCCGCUGUCACUCCGCCGGGGCCGAGGCCGCGGCCACCGACCCUGCGGCCCAUGAGCAGCAAGCUUCGUCCACCACCCUUCCGUGCAGAGGGAAGGCUGCACCGCCA